rnacentral:hammerhead_ribozyme from 1 species
GUACUGUUGAGGAGUUCCACAACAGGACGAAACGGUGCGUCCAGUGC